GUGGGUUACUCUUCGAAGGGUCGGUGUGGACUGGUCGGGCCGAAGGGCCUGUUUCCACACUGUAGGGAAUCUAAUAAGAUGUCAGUCACUGUCAGUGUAACUCCAAUCUUUGAUAAGCUGUGUACAUUUAUUCCUGCCUUGUCCUGCUCACAUUCUGAGCUGGAUUCUCUGACGAGUGAUCAUCUUGGGCAGAUUUCCAUUCCACUUUUUUUUAUAUAACAAAAGCAGAAGUACUCUGUAUUGCUGAUGAAAGACUCCAACCCUGGCUCCUUCAGAAAUGUGAAGGUGCCCUUCCAUUCUGACAGGCCCCUUGUCACUCCCCCUUUUUCCCAACAGUGUGUUCUGUAAACUGAGGUUCAGCAUUACAAACCAUCACUUUGACAGUUGUCCUGAGUAACCAUUUACUUGACUUCAGAAGACCUCUGAUUUUUAAUGGAUACUUUCAGAGGAUUCCAGGCAUAGGGGAACUGCCCAGUAGAAGCUUCAAUUUCCCAGGAAAUUCAUUCAGAGGAUGCUAUACCAGGAACUCUGUUGCACUCUCAUUCCGAGAAAUGAAAAUCUGGCCUGUCGAAAAAGUCAGGUCUCUGUUUCGAUAUAGAGUUGCAAUCUACUGAGAGCACAUCAUCUCAUAAAUGUUAGAAACUGACAAACUAAUCCUUUGUCUGCUUUGUAAUUUCCUGCAGUUUCUAGGCACCAAGUAAGUUGUACCUAAGGUAGACUAUUUCUAAAAGGACAGUGCUGCCUUUGAAUCCUCAGAUGCUAGUUGUCUCCUUAGGCUGGCUAUGUUGUGUCUCAGCUAGCAUGCCUUGUAUCUAAGAGACAUGCUCAUUAUGUCAUCACCAUAGCAUAGCAUGUGACCUGAUGGUAGAAAGGUCUCCUACUCCAUCUUACUGGAUCCAUUUGCAGAAUGACACUCUGAAGGAAUUAUGCUACAAAUUUUAACUGAAUUGCUCAGCACUAGCCCAGACAUGAAAGUGUCUGUAACUGUAAUAUAUGUAGAUACCAAUGGCUGUAAUAAAUGUCUGUUGAAUCUUGCAGUAGCAAGUUGCUCAUGUCUAGUUCUUUAUACACUAGAUGCUAACCUAAGUAUCAAUUCUUCAGGUACAUACAUCCCAGUGAACCAUUCACUGCAUCUAUGGAAAAUCAGAUGAAACUGUCAUAUAACGUGCAAGAAGAUGCUGCCUGACCUGCUGAGUUUCUCCAGCAAUUACUGGUUUCGUUUGACAACCAGUAUCUACAGGAGGGAAUCGUGGAAGCUUCCAGAAUCCAGGGAAAGGACCAAAGGCCCUAGUUUAAAAGACCUAUAAGAUCAUGUUCUUCCAGGACUUCUCAGCAGCAGUGAUCUGGAAAAGGAAAUCCUAUGAUGGCAUCAAGAGAAGACUGAGGGAGCUCGGGAUUCAGCACUCACUGAGAUGCUCCCCCCAGUUUUUGAGAAGCAAACGUUCCGGAGACUGAAUUGCUGGUUCAGCACUUUUAUUUGGCAUCGUAAGUGGCUCCUUAUUAAAUUAGCUAAACUGCAAUUGCCUCACAGACUGGGGGAAGUGGAUCUCACAGACAAUAAAACUAUCAACUCAGCUCGCUUUUAUCUUGCGUGUGAUCGGGCUUGCGGGGAUCCUCUUUCAAUAUGGUUAGAUAUUGAAACCUCUCAGGUAAGGUGCCCCCUUACUUGUUUGAUGUUUUUGGUCAAAAUUAGGACAAUUAGGGAAUAUUGCCAUAAUCCAAUGGUUAUCAAUACUGCUAAAGCAUGGAGGGUAAUUCGGCAGAGGGAAGGCAAUAUUGGCAAAACACCUUUUCUUACACCUAUAGUGGAUAUGUCGGGUUUUCAACCGGGGAUGAUGGAUUCAGGAUUCAAACAUUGGGCAGCUAGGGUUGUGUCUUGCAUGGGCGAUCUAUUUGAGGGAGACAUGAUGUUGUCCUUUGAUCUGUUGGUGUGGAAACACAAGCUAUCUAACAGGGACCUCUUGCAUUUUUUUCAAGUUAGGGAUUUUAUUCAAAAAAAGACUACACUUCUGACUGAUACCUACAAAUCCGACAUUGAGGAGAGGGUGCUCAGUGCUAAGAGUACACUUUCUGUCAGCACUUUAUAUCAACAACUGGGAGGCGGCUCCCUCAGAUGAAUUUGAUCGACUCUGCAGGAUGUGGGGGGAGAGCUAGGCAUUGAGGUCUCCUCAGAGGCAUGGGAAGAUAGUUGGGAAAACGCAAGAAAGAUGUCAAUUUGCAAUAGGACCCAUGCUUUCCAGUUGAAGAUUGAGGGUCCACUUGACUCUGGAUCGGGCACUCUUACCCAUUGUCUCUGGUCCUGUGGUAGGCUUCAAACAUACUGGAGCGCUAUGGUGGGUGCAAUG